rnacentral:piRNA from 1 species
UGAACCUCCAUGUAGGUGCUGGAGACUGAACU